UACGAAGGGGGCGAGCGUUGUUCGGAAUCACUGGGCGUAAAGGGCGCGUAGGCGGCCCUCCUUGUCGCGUGUGAAAGCCCCGGGCUCAACCUGGGAACGGCGCGCGAGACGGGGGGGCUGGAGUUCGGGAGAGGAGCGUGGAAUUCCCAGUGUAGAGGUGAAAUGCGUAGAUACUGGGAGGAACACCAGUGGCGAAGGCGGCUACCUGGACCGGUUCUGACGCUGAGGCGCGAAAGCGUGGGUAGCAAACAGG
rnacentral:rRNA from 1 species